GUGCUCGCUUCAACAGCACAUAUACUAAAAUUGGAACGAUACAGAGAAGAUUAGCAUGGCCCCUGCACAAGGAUGACACAUUUUUAUAAAAUUAAAUAUAUAUAUAU